UACGAAGGGGGCGAGCGUUGUUCGGAAUUACUGGGCGUAAAGGGCGCGUAGGCGGCCCCUUUUGUCGCGUGUGAAAGCCCCCGGGCUCAACCUGGGAACGGCGCGCGAAAACGGGGGGGGCUUGAGUUCGGGAGAGGAGAGUGGAAUUCCCAGUGUAGAGGUGAAAUUCGUAGAUAUUGGGAAGAACACCGGUGGCGAAGGCGGCGUCUCUGGACCGAGGACUGACGCUGA
rnacentral:rRNA from 1 species